GACGAACGCUGGCGGCGCGCCUAACACAUGCAAGUUGAACGAGCGAGAGAGAGCUUGCUUUCUCGAGCGAGUGGCGAACGGGUGAGUAACGCGUGAGGAACCUGCCUCAAAGAGGGGGACAACAGUUGGAAACGACUGCUAAUACCGCAUAAGCCCACAGGUCGGCAUCGACCAGAGGGAAAAGGAGCAAUCCGCUUUGAGAUGGCCUCGCGUCCGAUUAGCUGGUUGGUGAGGUAACGGCCCACCAAGGCAAUGAUGGGUAGCCGGCCUGAGAGGGUGAGCGGCCACAGGGGGACUGAGACACGGCCCUU
rnacentral:rRNA from 1 species